UACGUAGGGUGCAAGCGUUGUCCGGAAUUAUUGGGCGUAAAGAGCUCGUAGGCGGUUUGUUGCGUCGGCUGUGAAAUCCCGAGGCUCAACCUCGGGUCUGCAGUCGAUACGAGCAAACUAGAGUGUUGCAGGGGAGGUGGAAUUCCACGUGUAGCGGUGAAAUGCGUAGAGAUGUGGAGGAACACCGAUGGCGAAGGCAGCCUCCUGGGCCAACACUGACGCUCAUGCACGAAAGCGUGGGGAGCAAACAGG
rnacentral:rRNA from 1 species